rnacentral:lncRNA from 1 species
UUGGUUUCAAUUUACCAUUCUCAAAAGCAGUUCAAAACUGCAAUUUCUUGUCUGCUUUCUAUUAUUUACAGCAAAUAAUUUUAUUCUGUCUCAUAAAUAAUCCAUAAAGGUAUCAUUAAAAUAUUAUCACUUUCCUUCAUCAGACCUCUGUUAACACCUACCUCUCUCCAAAAAUAACCAGAUGUAAGUACAAUGUCUUUUGCCAGCUCCAAUCCCCAGCCCAGCUGAACAGGACUUGUACCAUAACAUUUCUCCAAAUCUGAGUUGAAAGUAAUUAAUCUUAUGUCAGUCUUCAUCUCAGUUCUGUAAAGGCUUGUGUUGAAGAUGGAACAAGUACUGAAAAUCCAAAGCAAAUUCCAAUGUAAAACCUUGUCCAGAAUCUUACGUAUACUGUAUUUUCUGUCAAAUGCCCGCUGUUCUCUAUUAAAAAGAUCAACAGUGAAAUGGGUAUUCCUGGUCAUGCAGAACAUAGCAACAGAACAAGCCUUUCAGGCAUAGGUUACCUAAAAUGUAGCACCAACCAUUGCUCUGCUCUCAGUGAAAACCUUACUGGCCCAUGCAGAAAGCACAGUCUCUUCCUCGCAGUGCCUUUCAUCCUGCACUACGGAACUAAGACUCCAAUAAUAAGCUGAUCUCUGCAGCUUCUGCUUUCCUGAAUUGCAAUUUCAACAUUGAGUCUGAAUUUCUUCUUAAAUUCCAGAAAGACUGAGAAGAUCUCCCUUAGUAGAAUUGCUCCUUGCUGUAGGCCUCCAUUCCCUGCAAGAAGCUACACUAAUAUUUGAGAUCCCUAAAUCCAAAUUCAGCUCUUCUUUCUUGGCCUCUUAAGGAACUGAUGUACAUAAUACCAAGACAUUGAUCAUCUUUUACCACACCUGUGCUCCUAAGCCACUCUACCAACUGCCUCAUCCUUAUUUCAUUUACUCUUUUCUGUUGUAGGAUGAAUUAUACGUUCUUCAUUGUGAGGAGAGCCAGUUCAGAAAUUGGAACCUGAGGCCUGGCGGGAUCCAGCAACAAAGGCAACCCUCCAACCUCUGCUUUCCAGAUGGAAACCAGAUAUCCAGACUAGGGCCUUCACUUGCAGGUAACCUUACUCACCCUAUCCUAAGUGAAUACUAUGAAGGUGUUGUUGACAUCUACAAGCAUCAACCCUCACCUCAGUUAUUCCUUAUCAGUCUGGUAGGAUCCAACACUCGAUUUAGCUCUCCAUCUUCUCUUUCACAGAAAAAGAGGAUGCUAUUGUUAGGAUAGCCUUCUGGACAGAAUAGCAUAUGUCACGAACUUCAGACUUAACGAUGAGUAAAGCAGCUUCCUGGCACUAGCACUGAUUGUCUCUUCAAAUUCUAUAGGAACUACAGCAAAUUCAGGUCUGUGUCCUCUUCUUCCCUGAACUCUAUCUGCGUAAGUGCUAGAUGUGUUGUCUGUAGUCCUAUUACACUGUAAUUGUUGACUGUUGAGAUCUCAUUGUGGCCUUCCAAGACUUGAAGAGAGCAUAUAAACAGAAGGGGGAAUGACUGUUUACGAGGCUGUACAGUGAUAGGACAAGGGGGAAUGGUUUUAAACUGAUUCAGGGGAGGUUUAGGAUAAAUAUUAGGAGGAAGUUUUUCACUCAGAGGGUGGUGACGCACUGGAACAGGUUGCCCAAGGAGGUUGUGGAUGCCCCAUCCCUGGAGGCAUUCAAGGCCAGGCUGGACGUGGCUCUGGGCAGCCUGGUCUGGUGGUUGGAGACUCUGCACGUAGCAGGGGGGUUGGAACUACAUGAUCAUUGUGGUCCUUUUCAACCCAGGCCAUUCUAUGAUUUCACAGUCUUUGGUGAAAGAAGUGUUUCUUUCAGUAAAUAUCUCUUCUCCCACAUCACUUUAAAGUUGUUUAAGUGACUGGCUUUGGGCACUGGAUUUCAUAUUUCAGAAGAGAACUUACGGCCAAAAGCAUACUCAUUUUUGACACUCUCUGGGACUGAAUGCAACUGUGGGAUGGGAGAUUUCUGCUUAUAUUCAGAUGUAACCCUGUACUUAAUGCAUUAUUUUAAGCACUAAAUCUUUUCAUUAGGAAAAGACCUUUCUGAUCUGCAACGUUCUAAGACAUUCUACCUGUGCAGGCUGCUGUAGGGAGCCUGCUUUGCAGGGGGGUUGGACCCAAUGAUCUCUAGAGGUUCCUUCCAACCCCUACAGUUCUGUGAUUCUGUUUACGGUUUUCCUUCUCGACACAAAACUGUCUGCAGGCUUUUAGUCCUAACACUAAGAGCUAAACAGAAAACUACCCACCACACUCCUGCUCAACCUUUUCGACCAGGAUUCCCUACCUUUCACUUUUGAUAGAGUGGAAUAAGAUGCCAUGCCUUCUCUAUCACUGAACACAGCUAUUACGUGCACAGUCAGUCCAGGACUUUCCAGGAAGUCUGUCAGUUGGCACUCUAAGCAUUCAGUAUUUGAUAUGGUAAUCCCCUCAUCUUUAAAUUUGCUCAUAAAAAAUGUUUUUUUCUUCCCUUCUGCCACAACUGGCUGUCCAAAUUCUUCAUGACCUUCUCCAAAUAAAUUCCUCCUACCAUUUGUGUGAGUCACAUUUCACUCACAGCCUCAGAGAUUGAUACUACUAGGCGAUACGCUGCAAUCUCAUGCAGCAACUUAUGAGCUUCUUAUUUUUGCUUUAGUCUUUCAUGAAGUGCACUGGGGCACAUGUUGGCAGAAAAGAUGGGGUACUGUGCUUUAAGAGCAUGCAUGGGAUUUGCCUCAUGAUAUGUUUAAAAGAUGCGGGGUCAGUUAAAAAGAGGAGAGCUUUCUUCUACCUUCCGGCUUUAUCAUACUUUCAGGUUGAUUUGGGCCAUAUUUUAAAACCCUUUCAACAGUCAUGCUGGCAAAAAACUUACUCUUUUCUAACAUCUUUCUCUGUGUCUCCCUUCCCCACCCUCAUUUGUUUUGUUUUGUUUUGUUUAAUUUGGAUUUUUAUUCUUGAAACUCAUGCACAGUCAUUGCUUGCCAGCAUCUAAGUGCUGGCAACAACACAAAACAACGCAAAUUUCCUGGGUUUUAUAGUAACUGGCAAAGCUGUUCUCCAGGGAGAAGCGUUAGCCCUGUGCAUAAAGCUUGGGUUUCAUAUAAAACAGCUCUUUUUCUUCUUUAAAUUUGAUCAUAUGCUGUCAUUUUCAUGUAUGUCUUUGUUAGCAUGGCACAAUAUUUCUUUUGAAGCUUUAAAUAUUUUCAGGCUUCCUCCCAUUUAAAAUUAUAAUUCUCUGCUAUUUCAGUUAAAUGCAGCACCAAUUUUCCUGAAGCUGAGUUGCUUUUGCCUGCAGUUCUAGCUCUGUGUUUCAUCAGCACCGAACAGUUCGGGCUGUCCAAAGCAGCACAUUACUUACAUCUAUACAAAAGGCAUAAUCAGCUUUCAACACCAUUCUCUUGUUUCUAGAGUAUGUUUUCACAUUUUGCUUCUCCUCUUUCCACUGAGAACCAUUUUACCCGUCACGGUACUGAUGCGGUAGCAACCCAGAUCAGAUCAGUUUGAUUUGGCGGGACUACAAUCAAUCAGGCAAAAAAACCAGACUGCUGUCCGGAUUCUUUAUCUGUUACAGACAGAGCCGAUACCAAUACGUUCAUGGUCUAAUGCACAAUUUUAAGAGCAGACACAGUACAACCUCUUGAAAAAGUGAGCUUCUUUGCUACAGAGAUUACUAAUCUCAUCUGCAAUAACAGAAGAAUGCCUCUAUUUCUGGAACGGAAAAUCUUACUUGAAGUUCAGCCUUUUUGUUCUUAGCUUCCCAGCAACGUCUUCACAGGUAUCAGAUUUUAACAUCAUAGUCUCAUCUCAAGUUUGUUCUUGUAUCUGAGGCUCUCCUGAAGACAAACUUUAGGCAUAAAUUUAUUACGUUAUGUUGUUCUCUGACCUGAAACAUGCAGCACUUAACUGCUUUCUUUCACCCUUAUGAGGUUGCUGCUUAUAUUUUCUUAAUUUCAUUAACGUAUCGCUACAGAGCUUCAUCUUUUGGGGAGCCAGAUGUCCAAUAUUUCUGUAGUUGCCACCAGUCAGUGAGACUGGAAGCAGGAAUCAGUGUAAGAUUAACCUAUGAAUCAGCCCAUUACAAUGUCUGAAGUGAUUCAGAGGCAAGAAUGGUAAAAGAUAAAGAUGUAGGCAGAGAAAAGGACUAAUAAAAGAUAGGUUAGAUACAGAAUUUGAAUGAGGUGCACAGAGCAUGAAAGCCCGUUUCAAACUGGGGUUUGCGUAAAAGAAGCAAAGCUAAGAAAAGAAACUGAGGUCCUCAGAAAAGUGUGAAAUAUUGAAAAGGAGAGUAAUAGGGUAACUAUGAAACUGGGAUCAUAUGGGUGCAAAUAAUUGAGGCAGCGGAUUCAGCAAAAUACAGAUUGAAUUUUAAGUGCGCUUUUCAGUCCCACAGAGGCUGAACCUGUGCUUAGUAUCCUGCUUGUGAUUAUGUGCUAAAUUAAUGGCAUAAUUAUCAUAGACUUGUCCUUCAGCUGUCACUGAACUGUAGGAUUCACUUCAUCCAGGGAAUUAAGGCUGCACGCUACUUGAGAAAACUGCUCUUAUUUGAGAGCACGAAACCAAUACUUACGAGACACAAUUUCUCUUUAACAUUUUUUCUGUUUUUACUUGAAGGGUUUUAGUAGGACUUGGCAUUGAUCCAAUACGUAUGAACUCCUCCAAGGGCAGAAGACAGUUUGAAAUCCUCCCUAAAAUUUUCCUUCCCUGUGUCACUAUGUUGAAAUAAACAAAAAGUAGCUUCUUGUUGUUGUUGCUGUUGUUGCUGUUCCCAGUAUCCCUGAAUUGCUUCACGUACACAAUGCAGUAAAAUGUAAAAGAAAAUUGUUUUUGGAAUUUAUGCUACCAAUUUUUCCCUGAUAAUGACUUUCAGGCCCAGUAAAAUUAACAGAUGUUUCCUACCAAAAUAGCGUGAAACUAAAUCUUAAGUGGUUUUUCUCUUUUAAAAACACAAAACUAGAGACUGUCAAAUAAAUGUGCUUUAUAUACAAUCAUGAAGCUCUUAUCUGAAGUUAAUUAAAAAUUAAUCUUAGGUAGAUAUACCGUGGUGGUUUUGUAAAUGUGUUUCUGGGGACGAGAUUAAUUACAUCCAUUGAUGUGAAUAAUAUACAAUCAAUACCCAUUUUCCUUUCUAAGAGGUUGAAAUCAAAUCCGUUCUGCAACUAGGACCUUGUUGUUGUCCCUAAAAAAUCAGUAUAACAGGCAGUUAAAAUGGGAACAAAGAAAAAAAUGAAAACAGUAGAAGGUAACAGCACUUAAUCGAGUAGCAUACGAAAUAUCACAUAACUCUCUGAAAAUCCAGAGAUAUUUUCAAUAGGUAGGAUUCAUGAUAGGUUAAAGUCAUUCACAAUUCUUCAUUGCUCCUGUUUGGAUUUUUAAUUAAAAAAUCCUAUGGAAUCAUUUAUCAAAAUGUGUUUCCUAAAAGCAGAAUUAUGGCAAAGGAGAACAAUAACCAUUCCAAUAAUGGCUUUGGUACUGUCUUAAUUCAAAUAAAUUAACAACUAAAAAUUAUCUGAAAAGGGUGAGUUUUUGUUCCAGUGUUGUUGUGGCUGUUAAAUUAUAAAGCCAUAUUUCAGUGAAUAUACUGCUCCGUAGUGUACAAACGGAGCUUGAACAGUUUCAGGGAUGACAUGGAUCCAGUUAUUCAUGGGCAGGCAUCAGGAAGACAGUGGAUCUCUCCCUCUUAGGUAAAAGGGCUACUAACCUGCAAAGAUUAGAGAUUCUUUUCUAUUUUUUCCUCUUCUAUCUGGAUAUGGAAUUUUCCUUGUUGCAACUUGUGUCUGUUGCUAUCACUGUGCACCUCUGAGAACAGGCCAGCUCCAUCUUCCAGUCCUGUCCUGUGGGCACGUAGUUAUCAGGCAGCAACAAGAUCUCCCCUCUGCCUUCUCUCAUCCAAGCUGAAGAUGUCCACCUCUCUCAGCCCUAUCAUAUGCAUCAUGUUCUUCAGCCAUCCUGGAGACCUCUUGAACUGACUCCUGGAUACAGUUCACAGAUGCAGUCUCACAAGUGCCAGAUAGAGGUGAAGGAUCACUUCCGUAGCUCUGCUGGCCCCUGGACCUCUUGCUAAUAUAGUCCAGGAUGCCACUGGCUUUCUUCACUGUGACACGCUGCUUGUCCACUCAGAACUCCAGUUUCUUUUCAGCAGAGAGCUUAUGAAUAUCCUCCAGAGUACAUAGUUGCGAUGGGCAAUUCCUUUCAGAUACAAGAGCUUGCACUUGCUUUUCUUGGGGUCCGGGAGGUUUGUGUCAGCUCGUUACUGUAGAUCACAGAGGUCCCUCUGAAUAGCAGCCCUGCCCUCCAGCUGAAUUCAGCUUUUGAGAUAUAAUAAAAGAAUGGAAAAGCUAGAGAACCACACUGGGAAAGAAGCAUCAGAAGCCUCUCAGGGGAAGAGAACCAGAUGGAGAUUAGAUAGCUUCGUUUACCUCUGGAAGUUACUUGUAAUGGGAAGGAAACAUUGUAGAAAUGCUCGGUUGCAUUUUUCUGUUGGCGCUAAGAUGUUAGUUUGAUCUUCGGUCCUACCGUCUUGAAAAAAAGAAGGAUAUGUGCUGAUUUCAUGGUAUCUGUUGGCACCCUUGCCUUAUAGUAUUGAUAUUGCAUGAUACUGUAUUUGUUUCCCAUAACAUUUUAGUUAUGUAUCUGUUUUGAUUUGAUGACAGGGGCAGUUUUAAGUCACAAUCUAAAAUGGAGUCUUUACAUAUAGUUCUGUUUCCCCCAGAGGAGUUGCCUGGGAACUCUCACGGACUGAAAUGUGCAGCACUCUGCAGAUGGUCUAUUUAAACUCAUUUUGUACUGCACUCUUCUUAGGAGGAGGAAGAUUCUGAAAGCCAGGGAGACCAUCUGGAUUUAUCUAAUUCUUCUUCUUUUUUUUUUUUUUCUUCUGCAUUAAAAGUGUGUAUUAAGACAAGCCAUCCAAACAGUUGCAUUGCUAAUGGAAUGAUAUUCCUCAUUCUUUGGCUCUGUAGAUUCCAUAAAUCUUUAUGGCUUUUAGAGUGGAUAAACUGUCAUAGUUUGUCACCACUUCCAUCAGGAUGGCGUUCCCUUUGCAAAGUAUGCAUCCUAGGGCUCUGCACGAGCCAUUUGUGGUUAGGGAAUGUGGCUCCAGGACAAACUUGUAAGAUAGAUGAAGCAAAUUCAGCCUCUGGCAGCUUUAGGAAUCACUGCAAGUUCUCACACCCCUUGUAGGAAUCAGCCCUCUCCCAGACCCAGUGCUCUUUUCACAUGAGCAAAUAAAAACCUUUCGAACAGUUGAGCUAGGAGAAUACCACACGCAGUCAUCACGACAAAAAAUAAUGCGGGAGAAAACCUUUCCGAGUCCACCAGGGAACACUGCUGAUUUAUGUGUAGGAUGUUCCUGUUAAUGCACGGCACUAUUAAGCCACACAUUAUUCAAGGAGUGAUCGUUCCAGUACACAACAAAUACCGCUAAUGAUCA